GAGAUGGUUUCGCCGUUUUCAUCUGGCCCGCUGCUCGAAGCAACGAGCGCCGGAAUUUAUAGCAAACAUAUGGCAGGAGAAAAUGAGAUCUCCCUGGAUGCGCUUGGUACCGCGACCGUCCCCGCAAUGGGGGCGGUCGUUGCUGUGCCCCCAACGGCGGUCCGGGGAAAUUGAUUUUUCGACUGCCAGAUAUGAAUCGUCAUAGAAUUGAUAGUAUCACUUGUUUUAAUUCAUUUUCAGAAUUAAAAACAAAGAAACUCGUUUUUGAAAAUCCUUUAACAAUAGCGAAUUCAAUUUCCUCGUUAAAGGUAUUAAACGCAAACAAAAGAAAACCCUUAGUACAAAACCGAUAUAUCCGAACGGCGAAGCUGAUUGAUGGAUUACCUCCGGGAGUGAAACCAAGAGACGAAAAUUAAGAGGGUGGAACCCAUUCAUUGUUUGGCGAUGGGCCGUGGCCGAAAGUGAUUUCCCUCCCGAAGAAAGAAGACCUCGAGAGCCGACGAACGUCAUAGUGUGUCCCGUGCGCGCGGGGCGAAAAUAUAACAGGAAGGAAGUUUUCAGUGAACUGUGUGCGGUGGAUGCUCAAUUAGAGGGCACUUGAAAUUGUGUGAUUUUUGUGUAUUUUUGCCGGUUGUUCAUUAUUAUUUUGCGCGGUUGCACUUGUGCCAUCCUUUUUCUCGUUUGCAGUUGCACCCAUCACCGGUUGGUUGGUUGGUUUGGAAGCGACGACGACGACGACGACUGCUGUUCCUGCUGUGUCGAUGUGGAUUUUUUUCAUUCGCUCAAGUGGCCUGUUUGAAGUGGUUGAAAAAUUAAUUUGGACUCUAUUUCAUUUUCAUUAGCAUCUUUGGGAUGGGGUCUGUGUGUAAAACCAACCGUGUGGCUCGAUUACAGUGCAAAAAAGUUGUUUCGAAAAAUAUUGUUUGCGUUUAGGUUGUGAUUCCGGUGCAAUUCAAUAAAAAAGUAUAACACAACAAAUUGAUAAUCAGUGUAACAUCAUCUAAAUACAUGUGUCGUUUUGUUAGCUACAACACACUUAAGCUGUUAGUACACAGGGUCAAAUAUUUGUCCAAAAAGAAACCAAUGCUCAAACAUCUUGUUUGACUCGAUCGAAUUUUCAUUAGAGUUAAACUGAUGUUGUUUCUUGAGUUCUUUCCUUGUCAAAUAUUUGACCCUGUGUAUUUCAGGGCUUACGGUAAAAAAUAUUUAUAACAACUUGGUUCAUGCUAAAUCUGGAACAAAAUUAAAAAACAUAUAUUAUCACCUAAUAUGUGAUACAGGAUCUACUUGAAUAUCUUAAAUUGUUAAACUAUAAAACGCGAUAGGCAAGAAAAAGUUUGCUGGUGACGGUUUAGUUUACACUGAUAAGCCAGUGAUCGUAUCCCGAUGCUUAGUUUCUUUGAUGUUCUUUCAUUGUUCACCAGCAAAAAAGUGUUUCUUUGAAAAUAGUACACUUAAAUUCACCUUCAGAUAUAGGUAGUAAGGAAAAUCAAUGAUUUUCUUUUGAAUUAGAAAGAUUUUCAAGUCUAUGGUGAUAUUCCUUAUUUGUUUGGACUAUACAUAUAAAAGAUGCUCAGAGAAGAACUUCUAACAGAGUAAUAUAAUUAUAUCUGGUUAUACUUACAAAGGUUUUCUUUCGAUUCAAACCCAUUUCAAGAAGGCUCUCACACAUAGGAAAAAUUGUUUUCUUAGCAAUUUCUUUGAAGAAAUGCCUGUAGCAAAAUUCCCUAAAAGGAUUUCCUGAUAUGUUUAGGUGGAAUUCAUUACUUGGGGAGUUUAUAAUUACAAGCAUCAAUGAAGAGAAUUGCAGCUCUUGGCUGAUUUAUCUCUAUGAGGAAGUUCAUCGUAUUGUAUAACAGAUCCCUUAGGAAAAAAUGAUCACAAAUCUUUAGACGAAAUUUCGAGAGGAAUUCAAUUAAAUGCAAUCCAAACAUUAAUGGGAUUAUUCAGCAGUAAAUUCAAUUACAUUUUGAAAGUUCUAUUUUUUUCGUAGAAUUAUUUUGGAAGGCAGACCAAGUACAUGACUUCGGCAAAUUACGGGGAAUUUUUUAUAAUAAUUCAAUUUGACAAGAAACAAGUCCUCAUAUUUUUUUUUUCAAACACAUAGACACGUUUGUAGAGAAUGAAUUCGAAAACUAUAUUUUGUGAUAGACUAAAGUUGUGUGAUGAUAUAAUCGUUUUUAUAUUAGAUUUCAGUACAUGUGUAUUCCGUUUUUGUCAACAUUCAGGAUGCUCUGUUCACAAAAUGGAAUAUUUUGACAUGAUAUUUUGCAUCAUUUAAAUAUGAACUCAAAGUUUUACUAGAAAACACAUUCCAAAAGCACAAUUAUACAGUUUCCUGUAAAAUUUAGUUACUUGACAUCAGGGUGUAUCUGAGAAUUAGAAGAAACUGAAAUUCAUUUGUCAGUUUUUUUCGUUGAACACAAGAAUAUCGCAUAUGCCAGUUCUAUAUCCGGAACCACACCUAAAAAUGACGCACUUGCUGGAAUGAUCAAUAUCCUCUGAAAAGCGAUUUAGAUAUCAUAACAAAGAAGGAUAUUUCUCGCGUUUAGUAUCUUACAGGCGUAUCAACAAUGAUCGAUUUCUCUUCAUCGAUUUUCUCUUCGGAUUAUUCCGGGAAAUAUGACCAAUAUUCGGAUAAUCACUUGGUGUGCUUCAAUGAAGGACGAAUAGGACUAGCAUCUAAAACAACAAAAAAAAAAAAAAAUAUUUGCCAGCCAAGUUAUUAACCAAUGUUGUGGAUUAAGGUGGCCCACACUUAUAUGAAAAACAAAAAUUUCGAAAAAUGCCAAGUCUUACCUCCUCAAUCAGUUGUUUUGGACUCCCAGAAGCUACGUUCAAAAUUUGAGAAAAAUCGGUUGAGCCUAAGGGGGCGCUCAAAACGCUUGAAGUUUGUAUGGGAAAACUUGGCCAAAUGUAUGCAGAAAUUUUAAGUUUUCGAAUUUUGCCGCUAGGUGGCGCUGUAAGCGUUCUAUAAUCAAACCCUUUGGUAUUAUUGUAGGUGACUAUAUGCCAAACAAGUUUGUCGAAGACCGCAAAGUGAUCCAACGUCUGUGAAAAAAGUUAUACCCUAGGAAAAGUGAGGAUAAAUUUUAUUGUUAUUUUUCCAAUACAUGUAAAGGAAUAAUAUCAAUAAUGAAAUCUCAAUACUUUGCCUCACUUUGCCUAGGAUAUAACUUUUUUCACAGCCGUCGGAUCACUUCGCGGUCUUCGACAAACUUGUUUGGCAUAUAGUCACCUACAAUAAUACCAAAGGGUUUGAUUAUUGAACGCUUACAGCGCCACCUAGCGGCAAAAUUCGAAAACUUAAAAUUUCUGCAUACAUUUGGCCAAGUUUUCCCAUACAAACUUCAAGCGUUUUGAGCGUCCCCUUAGGCUCAACCGAUUUUGCUCAAAUUUUGAACGUAGCUUCUGGGAGUCCAAAACAACUGAUUUAGGAGGUAAGACUUGGUAUUUUUCGAAAUUUUUGUUUUUCAUUUAAGUGUGGGCCACCCUAUUGUGGAUGCUAUCGAUUGGUAAUUUUGUACUUGGAGAUUUUUCGGCCUUGCAGUCUCCGGUGCAGUCAAAACGACAUAUCCCGAGCAGAAGAAAAAAACUCAAUAAAAGCAUAUUUUGAUACGGAGAUCAAAAAGUGAUAUUGUUUUGUUUGAUGUAAGAGGUAAAAGUACUGGAAACAAUAACUGAAAUUUACCCCUUCACCAACAUCAUCAUAACAAAUUUAACUCUUUUGAGAGCUAACCUAUAGCAGCGAGCUAUUCGGUUGAUCUUCAAAUAGCAAAUUUUGCUAUUGGCCAGACGUCCUAGGAACAUUUGUUUGCUAUUAUUUUCAGUACUUUUACCUCUUGUCUUAUAUCAAUCAAACCAAUAGCACGUUUUGAUCGUCAGUACUUGACCUCUGCCAAGGAUAUUUUCGAUGUCCGACGUUUCAAUGGAUCAAUUUGUUUAAAUAGAACCCUUGAGAAAGAUGGCAUAGUCCAUUGAAACGUUGGGCAUCGAAAAUAUAUGUCGUUUUGACUGCACUGGAGACUGCAAGGCCGAAAAACCCCCAAGUUAUUAACCAAAGAGAAAAUCGACGAAGAGAAAUCGAUCAUUGUAGUUACGCCCGUACUAAGCGCGAGAAUAUAAUUCCUUCCUUUUGGAAGGAAAAUUAAUCGGCCAAAUUUUUUUGGGACAGUGGAGAUAAAUCAAAACUUAUGAAUAACAAAGCGUAACAUUUUCAUAUCAAGAGCAAACUUAUUUGUCUUUGACAGAUUUCGGGCCGCUGACUCCGAAUCCGGGCUCAAAUUUGCUUCAGCACGUCACAACUGUGAGCUAUACAAAUUUGCUUCAGUACGUCACAACUGUGAGCUAUACCUCAAUGUACAGGGUAUAAUGUGCGAUUUUGGGCUUUUUUGAUUGCAAGCCAUAAAGAAUGGAAAUACUUUUUUAAGCAAUCAAGGGGUAAAUUGUUCAAUUAACAUCUAAAUUACUCAUGCAAAAUAUUUCGAUUUACCAAUUCAAAUUUCAUAAAUUUAUGCAUUUUAUGUUAGUAAGUAAACCAGAGUUGCACUCUGUCACUGUCAAUGGUAAGCAAAUUGUUGAUUUUGAUAGAUCGACUACGAUCCAAGUCAGCGUGCGCUCUAUUGAGUCGCCGUGACUUUCCUUGUUCUAACAGCACUGGACUGACUGUGAUGGUGUGUAGAUAUCACUGAUAGGCCACCUUUAAAAUUCGUUUAUAAAUCCAAAUGCAGAUUUACCAAGAUGAUAUUUUAAUAUGUGACACAGAAUAACAAGUUUUACAUGUUGGUCACAAAAAAAUUUGAGUUUUGGCGAAAACAACUAAAGUAUCACAGCAGUUGUAAUGAUUGUGAUCUAGAGUGCGGAUCAAUAUCAGGUCGUUGCCUGUCAUUGUCGUUUUGAUAUAGAACGGCCUGGAGUGAUAAUGACGAUGGUGCAAUAUCAGUGUCACCUGACAAGACAGAUAUUACGCAACUCUGAAGUAAACUACUGUUAGUAAGCAUGCAACUUUUGGAGGGUUACUUGUAUGGGAAGUAUCGUACCAAUCAUAAAACGUUUAUAACUGUAAAAUUCGAAGAACGAAAUAUUUUGCAUGAUUCGUUGAUGUACACGCUAUUUGACCAAUUUACUUUUUGAUUGCUUAAAAAAUAUUUCAAUGCUUUUUUUUUGUUUGUAUUAACGUGUAUUUUAACUUAAAUGCUAAUUCUACACUUAGAAUUCUAUGCUUAAUGGCAUACAAAAAAUCCCAAAAUAACAUAUUCUGCCCUAUAAAUUAAGGUAAAACUCAAAAAUGUCAUGUGCUAGAGCAAAUCUGAGCCCUGAUUUAGAUUCAGCAGCCCAAAAUCUGCCAGAGACAUAUAAGUUUGCUCUUGACUCCAUGCAUUUCCUUUUUUUUUAAUUUUUAAUAACGGUGAAAAAUUUUCAAAAUCAGUUUCCUAACCCAUUUAAUAGAAAAAUGAAGGAAUCUCCUGUUUUUUUUUCCUGGUGGAAAAUGUUUUUCAUUUAUCCACAAAAUAUUUUUUUCGAAAUUUAGUUUAAAAAUGUUUUUUUUUUUUGUAAAAUAGAAACGAUUUCGAAAACUUUGCUCCAUUUUUUAAUAAAAAAAAAUCAAAAACCAAAAAGUGGAGAAAUGGAUCCAGUUUUUCCUUAGGCGCUUAUCGUCGCAUUCAGCAAUGAAAUCAAAAACAUACUGGAGGUUUUCACCAUAAAUCCUAAAUAGAACAGAAAUGCGUUUGACUCUCCAGCGACAAUUAAUACUGGACAGUCACAUAAUAGCCGUCUCAAUAAUAAGGUCUCAAUUUCACAGUUACAAAAUAGACAGAUGUCAGUUUGACAUCGGUUAAUCUUUUUCACAUAUGAUAUCUGGUCAGGCAAUGUCCUGUGAAGAGCCCAACGAUUAUGCUCAGAGAUUUUUUAUUUAGAUUUAGUAACUUUUUUGUAAUUUUGCUAUAUGGCGUUAUAAACAAUUUGCAGCAAUGUUCCUGGCUCUCUACAGUGACAGCCUGCCAGCUACCCAGCCAGCAAUUUGGUUUCUACAUAUAUCAAAAUUGCAUCUGAAAUAGUCACACAUAUAUAGCACCAAAGAAAUCGUAUUUAAUGCACGAAACAUGCAUAUACACACUAAAGUGGAGGCCAUAUCGAAACAUAUAUACGAUUUCUGCGAUUCCAUCCAACAUGAUUUACGAUUAAUCGAAAAAUUUCUACGAUCUCGCCGAUUUUCUCCGUAUAAAUAUACGAUUUGCAUGAUCUUAUUACGAUUGAGUGUACCGAUAUGCGACUCAAGAUCUUCAAAUAA